UACAGAGGUGGCAAGCGUUGUCCGGAUUUAUUGGGCGUAAAGAGCGUGUAGGCGGCCAUGUAGGUCCGUUGUGAAAACUCGAGGCUCAACCUCGAGACGCCGAUGGGAACCAUGUGGCUAGAGUCCGGAAGAGGAGAGUGGAAUUCCUGGUGUAGCGGUGAAAUGCGCAGAUAUCAGGAAGAACACCCGUGGCUAAGGCGGCUCUCUAGUACGGUACUGACGCUGAGACGCGAAAGCGUGGGGAGCGAACAGG
rnacentral:rRNA from 1 species